rnacentral:rRNA from 1 species
AGACCCGAAACCCGGUGAUCUAGCCAUGGGCAGGUUGAAGGUUGGGUAACACUAACUGGAGGACCGAACCGACUAAUGUUGAAAAAUUAGCGGAUGACCUGUGGCUGGGGGUGAAAGGCCAAUCAAACCGGGAGAUAGCUGGUUCUCCCCGAAAGCUAUUUAGGUAGCGCCUCGUGAAUUCAUCUCCGGGGGUAGAGCACUGUUUCGGCUAGGGGGCCAUCCCGGCUUACCAACCCGAUGCAAACUGCGAAUACCGGAGAAUGUUAUCACGGGAGACACACGGCGGGUGCUAACGUCCGUCGUGAAGAGGGAAACAACCCAGACCGCCAGCUAAGGUCCCAAAGUCAUGGUUAAGUGGGAAACGAUGUGGGAAGGCCCAGACAGCCAGGAUGUUGGCUUAGAAGCAGCCAUCAUUUAAAGAAAGCGUAAUAGCUCACUGGUCGAGUCGGCCUGCGCGGAAGAUGUAACGGGGCUAAACCAUGCACCGAAGCUGCGGCAGCGACACUGUGUGUUGUUGGGUAGGGGAGCGUUCUGUAAGCCUGUGAAGGUGUGUCGUGAGGCAUGCUGGAGGUAUCAGAAGUGCGAAUGCUGACAUAAGUAACGAUAAAGCGGGUGAAAAGCCCGCUCGCCGGAAGACCAAGGGUUCCUGUCCAACGUUAAUCGGGGCAGGGUGAGUCGACCCCUAAGGCGAGGCCGAAAGGCGUAGUCGAUGGGAAACGGGUUAAUAUUCCCGUACUUGGUGUUACUGCGAAGGGGGGACGGAGAAGGCUAUGUUGGCCGGGCGACGGUUGUCCCGGUUUAAGCGUGUAGGUGUGUGUUCCAGGUAAAUCCGGUUCACUUUAACACUGAGGCGUGACGACGAGGCACUACGGUGCUGAAGCAACAAAUGCCCUGCUUCCAGGAAAAGCCUCUAAGCAUCAGGUAACAUCAAAUCGUACCCCAAACCGACACAGGUGGUCAGGUAGAGAAUACCAAGGCGCUUGAGAGAACUCGGGUGAAGGAACUAGGCAAAAUGGUGCCGUAACUUCGGGAGAAGGCACGCUGACACGUAGGUGAAGUGAUUUACUCAUGGAGCUGAAGUCAGUCGAAGAUACCAGCUGGCUGCAA